AAUAGAUACCCGGGUAGUCCACGCCGUAAACGAUGGAUGCUAGCUAUUGGGGGGAAUCGACCCCCACCGAAGCGAAGCUAACGCGUUAAGCAUCCCGCCUGAGUAGUACGAGCGCAAGCUUAAAACUCAAAGGAAUUGACGGGGACCCGCACAAGCGGUGGAGCGUGUGGUUUAAUUCGAUGGUAAACGAAGAACCUUACCAAGGUUUGACAUCCCGGUAGCCGUUCUCCGAAAGGAGAAUUUCAUUUAGUUGGACCGGUGACAGGUGAUGCAUGGCCGUCGUCAGCUCGUGUCGUGAGAUGUUGGGUUAAGUCCCGCAACGAGCGCAACCCUUAUGAUUUAGUUGGAUUUUUCUAAACAGACUGCCCUGGUAACAGGGAGGAAGGAGGGGAUGAUGUCAGGUCAGUAUUUCCCUUACACCUUGGGCGACACACGCGCUACAAUGGCCGGUACAAUGGGCAGCUAAGCCGCGAGGUGGAGCAAAUCCCAUCAAAGCCGGUCCCAGUUCGGAUUGCAGGCUGAAACCCGCCUGCAUGAAGCCGGAAUCGCUAGUAACC
rnacentral:rRNA from 1 species